rnacentral:lncRNA from 1 species
UUAAACCUAACUCCAAUUAAUUAAUUAAUCAUUUGAGUUAAGGGUUUAAAUCAAAGUUAAAAGUCAAAUUGGAAGAAUUGCAUUUUCACCUUGAAUAUUAUUAUUUGGAAUAAUUACAUGUCUACCUUGAAUAUUAUUAUUAUCUUUUGACACUUUAUUCAAAAUAUAAUAUUCCAAGGGGACAAAACACUAUUCAUGGUUGAAUUAUUCAAAGAUAAGAUUCUUCAAGGACAACACACUAUCCAAAGAGAUAAGACCAACACACUAUCCAAGAAUUCAAGAUAAGAUCAAAGACAAAGCUUGGAUUUUUGUGAGAAAUCAAGGAGCCAUCCAUUGAAGAUCCAAGGGUGGACAUUGAGUGGCCAAGGCUAUAAAUAAAAGGGUAAUCCCCUCAUUUUCACUCACCACACUACAAGCAAACUCAAGAGCUUUCACUCCACACUUGCCCACACGUUUUUGCCUCCAAGCUUCCAAGAUUUCAAGUGCUCAAGUGUCCUAGCUUUCCAAAGUUUCAAAAGCUCUCCAACUUCUUCUAAUCUUCUUGUUUAUCUUUACAAUUAAGAAGUGUUGUUUGCUUUAAUAUUCCACUCCUCUAAUCACCUCUUGUGUGUGUCCACUUUGGUUGAGAGGGUUGUCUCAAUAGUACCAAAGUGUGAGAGAAGGUUUUCGAGCUCAACCAUAAAGCUCUAGUUUGGUUUUAUAGAGUUUCUUAAGAGUGUCAUUGAUACUCUAAUGUGUGAGUCUACCCGUAAAAGACUGGUUCCUAAGCGAAGUAGCCUUAAAACUUAGAGAGGUUCUUAAGAGUUUCCUUGAUACUCUAAGGUUUUGCCAUAACCUUUAGGCGAGUGAAUUCCGACAGUUGGUCGGGACUGGAUUAGCCCUUGUUUGGGUGAACCAGUAUAAAUCUCUUGUGUUGUUCUUUGUUAACUUUAGUUUUUAUCUUUCAUCUAAAAACAACUAAACAACACUAAAUUGAAAAGGAUCCCUCUUCCAGUUAUCUGGUCAAAUACAGAGGUUGACUACUUUACGCAGAUCCCUCAUCCAGUUAUCUGGUCAACUAUCUGAGGUUAUAUUCAUUGCCUUAAAUCUUUAUUCAUAUAUUUGUUCAAGCAUUUACUUAUCAUAUAUAUAUCCAGUUAUCUGGUCAUAUCUUGCUUAUCAAAUAUAUAUCCAGUUAUCUGGUCAUUUACUCUAUAAUAUAACUUGUGUUUAUAAUAUAAUUUAGUAUUCAUAUAUUAUAGUUGUUUAUAAAACACCAUCUGAAAAGUUGACUACAUAUUCAUAUACUGUAGUAAACUUCAAGAGCAAAAGGCAAGUCCAAUAUAUAUAAUAUUAUAAGAUAUAAUAUUAUAUUCUUUAAAAUCAUAUAAUAGUAUUAUAUUGCUAAUAAUAUUAUACUAUUAUUAUUAUACAACCAUUUGUGUACUUAAGUGUGUGCAGGUAAUUCCGCUAUUAAUCUGCAUAAAUCAAAAAGAGGCUAUUAUCCCCCUUAUAGCCUCGGAUCACGAUCCAACAAGUGGUAUCAGAGCCAAGUACCGUUGAAGUUUGACUAACAUCUUACAACAACAACUAUGGCACCAAAUGGUGAAUUCAACACUGGUCUUGCGUCAAACAAACCUCCCAGGUUCGAUGGAGUAAAGUAUGACUUCUGGAAGAACAAGAUGAAGUUAUACUUGAAGUCAAUCAACAAUGAAGUAUGGAAGAUCAUAUUAGAGGAUUAUGAAAUUCCAACAAGCAUUGAAGAGACUUGGGGAGAAAUGGACAUCCUCAAGGAAAACAACAACUCAAGAGCAUUGAAUGCUCUAUAUGGAGUACUCAAUGAAUCUGAGUACAACAGAAUUCGAUGCUUGGAUACAACUUAUAAGNNNNNNNNNNNNNNNNNNNNNNNNNNNNNNNNNNNNNNNNNNNNNNNNNNNNNNNNNNNNNNNNNNNNNNNNNNNNNNNNNNNNNNNNNNNNNNNNNNNNCAUGCUACCUCUCAGUUCGAAAGAUUCUCUAUGAAGGAAGACGAGACUAUCACAGAGAUGAACAUUAGACUAUCACAAAUAGUUAAUGAUCUGGUUGGACUAGGAGAUCCAGUAACUGAGAAGAAGCAAGUAAGCAAAAUUUUGAGGAGCCUUCCAAACAAGUACUACUCCAAAAGGAAUGCUAUCCAAGAGACUCAUGAUCUCAACAAACUUACAGUUGUGGAACUCUGUGGAAAUCUGAUGGCUUAUGAAGAAGAAAGAUUCAUCUCUAGAGCUAGAGAAGAGAAAAAGGAUAUUGCUCUUAAAAGUCAAUCUGACAAUGAAACAUCAGAAGAUGAUCCAGCAAUGAUCACCAAUCAUCUGAGAAGAAAGACUCAAGGUCAAGUCAUCAGAAGUUCGACAGAAGAAUGAGCAAGGAGUCAAAAGAACCAUUAAUCUGUUAUCUAUGCGACAAGUCUGGACAUAUCAAACCAGAAUGUCCUCUGCUAAAGAAAGAAAGNNNNNNNNNNNNNNNNNNNNNNNNNNNNNNNNNNNNNNNNNNNNNNNNNNNNNNNNNNNNNNNNNNNNNNNNNNNNNNNNNNNNNNNNNNNNNNNNNNNNCACAAUGGACAAACUCUGACUCGGAUCAAGAAGAUUGUCUCAUGGCUCAUGAAAGCAACUCUGAGGUAAGUUUUGCAAAUACUAGAUUUAAUUCUUUAGAAGAAGCAUAUCUAGAAUUAAUGAAAAAAUGAAAAAAUGAAAAAAAAUUAACUAAGUCAUUAAAACUAGAAUGCAUGAAUAAAUCACAUAUAGAUCAAUCUAUUGAAUUAGAAGAAUCACAAAAAGAAUGCAUGCAAUUGAAAGAAAGAAAUCUAAAACUCACAAGUAAAUUAAACAAAGAUGAAGAAAAAAUUAAGAUACUUAAAAGUCAAAACUUUGAAUUGCUUAACAUUUUAAAAUAUGAAGAAAAUCAACCUAAGGAAAUAGAUGAUGAUAAGAUUGAAUUGCUAGAAUUAAGAAUAGAUAAUUUUGAAGAAGAUAUUAUGUUAAAAGAAAAAGAAACAAUCAUGCUCAAAACAGAAAUAGAAUCUAAGGACAAAAUCAUACUUGAGCAUGUAGAAACCAUACAAAAAUUAUCUGAAAAAUGUAAUGAUAUGCAAUUACAAAUCAAAAGAAUAAGUCAGAAGAAUAAUGUUCUUGAAAAAUUCUUAAAUAGUUCAUCUAAGCAAAAUGACAUGUUGCAAGGUUCAAGCUCAGGUCAAAAGAAAUUUGGCUUAGGGUUUGAAUCAAAUGCACCUAUUAAAAAACCUUUACAUGCUUUAACUUAUAAUAAUUAUUUUGUAAGAGAAUCUAGCUACAUAAAACCUAUUCAUCUUAAGAAAAAGAAAAAUCUAUCUAAGAUGAAUCAUCCAAAACAAAAAUGGAUGACCAAGGAUGAGUUAAAAAAUUAUACGCAAAUCAACUAUGUUAAUUCAUCUGAACCUAACUCAGUAUGGGUACCAAAAGGUUAUUCAACUCUUUCAGGAAAAACAUGUGUCAAAAUGGUUGUUCGACAGUGGAUGCACAAGGCACAUGACUGGAGAUUCAAGUCUGCUGACAGACUUGACCGACUGGCCUACUACUAAGAAGGUCAAGUUCGCCGAUAACAACGAAGGUACCAUUAUAGGUAGGGAUAAUAUAGAUAAUAUAGAUAGACCAUUUCUUAGAGAUGUUUGCUUAGUUAAUGACCUUAAACAUAAUCUUAUCAGCAUAAGCCAAUUAUGUGAUAAUGAUUGCACAGUUAAAUUUGAAAAACAUCUAUGCUCAAUCAUUAACUCCAAGGGAGUUAUAAUUGCUAAAGGAUAUAGGAAAAACAAUGCUUAUUCCAUAACCUUUAAUCCCUCCAAGCCAACUCAUGACUUCUGCAUGAUUGCAGCAAGUGAUGAAAAGACUUUAUGGCAUAGAAGGUUAGGUCACACUAGUUAUUCUCGAUUAUCCAAACUAUCAAAAGAAGAACUGGUGACUGGACUGCCUAAAAUAGCAUAUGAGAAAAGUAAUCUCUGUGAUGCUUGUCAAAAAGGGAAACAACAUAAAAGCUCAUUCAAAUCCCUUACAGAUAUUACUACGUUCAGACCUUUGGAACUUCUACACAUGGACUUAUUUGGGCCAACCCAAACCCAAAGUUUUGGCGGUAAAAGGUUUACGUAUGUAAUAGUAGAUGAUUACUCAAGAUUUACUUGGGUUUUCUUCUUACGAAAUAAAAGUGACUCAUUCAAUGAGUUCUCAUCAUUUUGUAUACGUGUACAAAAUGAGAAGGAUGUCCUCAUAAAAAGAAUUAGAAGUGAUCAUGGAGGAAAAUUCGAGAACUCUGAGUUUGAAGAAUUUUGCAAAACUCAUGGAAUAAAACAUGAAUUUGCUUUUCCCCAAGCACCUCCUCAAAAUGGAGUUGUUGAAAGGAAAAACAGAACUCUACAAGAGAUGAGUAGAUCCAUGUUACAUGAACAUGAUUCACCACAGUAUCUCUGGGCAGAAGCUGUUAACACAGCCUGUUAUAUAUUAAACAAGGUGAUUAUUAGAAAAACCUUGAACAAAACUCCAUAUGAGAUCUAGAAUGGAAGAAAGCCAAAAGUCUCAUACUUCAAGGUCUUUGGAUGCAAAUGUUAUGUUCUCCGAACAAAAGGCAACCAAGACAAAUUUGCUCAGAAAUCUGAUGAAGGUAUCCUGGUAAGAUACUCUAGAAGGAGCAAAGCCUACAAAAUUCUUCUCAAAGAAAAACAAAUAAUGAUCGAAUCAUUACACAUUGACUUUGAUGAAUCCACUCAGACAACCAUUGUAGAAGAAGAUGAAAUAGUUCCAGAACCAGAAAUCAUCAUUCCAACUGAAGAAACUACCAAUGUCGAAAUCGAAGUCUUUGAGCCUCCAUCCAACAGGUUGCUCAGGAACCCACAUUCCACUGAUCAAAUCAUUGGUGACCAUCAAGCUGGUGUUAAAACCAGAUCAUCCAUUCAAAGAAACAGUGUUCUUGACUGUAUUGUCUCUCAAAUUGAGCCCAAGAAAGUUGAUGAAGCCCUCGACGACAACUACUGAAUUCAAGCUAUGCAAGAAGAACUCAACCAAUUUGAGAGAAAUGAUGUAUGGGAACUAGUUCCAAAACCAAAAGAUACAUCAAUCAUUGGGACAAGAUAGGUAUUCAGAAACAAGCUGGAUGAAGAUGGAACUAUAGUCAGAAACAAAGCUAGAUUGGUUGCGCAAGGAUACAAUCAACAAGAAGGAAUUGAUUAUGAUGAAACCUUUGCAUCAGUAGCUAGACUAGAGUCUAUCAGAAUGCUCCUAUCCUUUGCAUGCUACAAGGAUUUCAAAUUAUAUCAAAUGGAUGUAAAGAGUGCAUUCUUGAUUGGAAUAGUCAAUGAACAAGUAUAUGUUAGACAACCUCCCGGUUUCGAAGAUUACAAAAACCCUGAUCAUGUCCUUAAACUUAAGAAAGCCCUCUAUGGUCUGAAACAAGCACCCCAAGCUUGGUAUGAAAGACUAAGAAACUUUCUCAUUUCUUAGGAAUUUAGAAUGGGGAGUAUAGAUAAUACAUUGUUUAUUAAAAAUGUCAAAAGUGACAUUAUUCUAAUCCAAAUCUAUGUUGAUGACAUUAUAUUUGGAUCAACCGAUGAUACUCUAUGUAAGAAAUUUUCCAAACAAAUGGAAGGCGAAUUUGAAAUGAGUAUGAUGGGAGAGUUGACUUUUUUCUUAGGUCUACAAGUCAAAUAGAAGGAGAAUGGAAUAUUCCUAAGUCAAGUUAAAUAUGCUAAGGAAUUGAUAAAGAAAUUUGACUUGGCUGAAUCUAAAUCUAUUCCAACUCCGAUGAGUUCAAUACUUAAAUUGGAUAAAGAUGUUGAAGGUCAAUCAAUGGACAUUAAGAAAUACAGAGGGAUAAUUGGAUCACUGCUAUACCUAACAGCCAGCAGACCAGACAUCAUGUUUACAGUCUGCUUAUGUGCCAGAUUCCAAUCAGACCCAAAAGUGUCACAUCUCAAAGCGGUUAAAAGAAUAAUCAGGUAUAUCAAAGGAACAAUUACACUUGGAUUAUUCUACCCUAAAGACAACUCAUUCACACUGACAACAUACUGUGAUGCUGACUUUGGUGGAUGUAAGACUGACAGAAAAAGCACUAGUGGAACAUGCUUUCUGUUGGGAAGCUCACUCGUAGCAUGGUCAUGUAAAAAGUAAAAUAGUAUUGCUUUAUCCACAACUGAAGCAGAAUAUAUGGUAGCAUCUAAUGCAUGCCCUCAAAUUUUGUGGAUGAAAUAAACAUUAUCCGACUACGAUAUAGCUUUAGAAACAGUAGCUCUUAAAUGUGACAAAAAGAGUGCAAUUUGUUUAUCAAAAAACUCUGUGUUACAUUCAAGAUCUAAACACAUUGAUGUCAGACAUCAUUUCCUUAGAGAUCAUGUAGAAAAGAAAAAUAUCUGCAUAGAAUAUAUUUCUACUGAAGAUCAAAUGGCUGACAUCUUUACUAAACCCUUAGAUCAAGAAGUUCAUUCAAAAAUCAGAAGAUCUAUGGGUAUAUGUGAGCUUAGUGAAAUUUGAUUAGUUAUGAGUUAAUGCAUCUCAAGCUUUAGUCUUAAUAUUCUUCACUUGAAUAUCUUUAUACUUAUAACCUUGAUCAUGAUUACAUUGAAAUGAAUAUACGUAUGCAUGAAUUUACAAAUCUAAGAUUUACAUGACUAAGUAUAUACAUAUAAUUCAUCAUAUGCAUGCAUGAAGAGCUUAACUUGAAUGCAUGACUAUCGUAUAUACCAUGUUUAUAUAUCGAUAAUUUUUAUUAAUUUUUUUAUUUAAAAAUAUUAACAUUAUUAAUUUAUUAAUAAAUUUUUAUUAAGAUUAUAUAUCUUAAUAUAUUUACCUUAGACGGUAUAAUUAAAUCAAAUAAAAUAUUCUCUCAUUUAUAAAUUUAAAUUUUCUCGUUUUUAAUUAAACAAAGAUUCUCAAUAAUCAAAAAUUAUUAUUUGUAAAUAUUAAGUAAUUUAAUGCAUGCAUGCUUACAAUUGAACGCUAUUAAUACAUCGUAUGCUAUAUAAAUAGUUGCUUACAUGGACAUGCUUAUCACUCACAUACAUGAUCUACAAGUGAACAAACGAUGUGUAUACAAUGAAAAUUAUAAUCUUAUGAAAUGAUUAUGCCAAAAUAUGUCAUGUCUUCACUACUGUUUAAAUUGACUCAUGCAUAUGACAUGUCAUCACUUACAUGUAUGGAAAAAUUAUGAAAUUAAUCUUAUGUUGCACCCAUACUGCAUUAUGUCAUAUCUCGAAUAUAAUAUAUUGAGCAAAAUCAACAUCACAUGGUAUUGGUAAUCCAAACCUUACCUCAUGGCAUUGAGAAUCGUCGUCUGCACAUUCUGCAACCUCGAUGCUGCAACUUCAUCCAGCAAACCUGUCGCAACUAGUCACUCACGACAGCUAGAAGCAUGGACUAUCGUGCAUAGUGCAAAGAAUGCGUUGAAGACCACCAAAAAGUAUGUUUUAAAUUAAAUAUUAUUUUGGAUACAAGCCACUAAAAUACAAGCCUUGCUAAGAUCCUAGCUAGCUCUUAGAUGAUAGUUUCGAAAUCUCAUUACUUGUUAAACCUAGCAAGUCAUGUCAGUACAUGGGAAAUCAAAGAACUCUUUUUUGAGAAGGAGACUACAAGAUAAAACGAUUUUUCAUGGCUUAGUCAAAUCAAGAAAUUCUUGGAAACUAAAACAUAAAUUAUUUUUGAAGUUUCUAAGUUUAAAAUAAUUCACUGAAACUUAAGGAUUAAGAUGAUAUUUUUUUUUCCAGUAAAUAUAAAGUUAUGUGAAACUUCAAGGACUUAAACAUAAAUCGUUUAUGAAGUUUUUAAGUUUUAAAUAGAUUAACUAAAACUUAAGGGUCAAAAUGAUAUCUUUACAGUAAAUAAAUAUUUAGUUAAAACUUCAGGGACUUAAAAUUAAUAUUUACAUGAAGUUUUCAAAUUAAAAAGUGCUUAGAAAUAGUUAAUAUUUCCAAGGUUUAAAUGAAAUAUUUCAAGUAUUAAUCUAAGUAUUUAUCAUAACUUCAAAGGGCUUAAAUGAAAUUUUGUUUUAAGUGAAGUUUUACUACUAAGGUUUUAAAGACUGAAAUGAAAAUUUUAAAUCUUUUAAAACUUAGUGAAUAUUUACAUUAUUAUAUUUGUCACUAAGACAUAGAUUUUAAAAUUUUAAAUGCUCAAUUUCUUCUUAAAGCAAUUAGUGAAUAUUAUGGAUUUAUACAUAUCAUUCACUAAUAUCUUAUGGAUUAUAACAUUAUAAAAUCUUAAUUAAUCCAUACAUGUUAAGAUCAUCUUCAUCCAUAACACACACAUGGAUUAUUAUUCAUUGCAUGAUCUUAACACAAGGCAAUUUAAAUUAUCAUAUCAUACUUGCCUUAUAAUGUAUAUCAAAAUUGGCUUCAAUCUAAUAUUUUAUCAAUGAGCAUAAAUUACAUGUUAUUUCUCCUAUAUGAUUGACUAACACUCUUAUAAGCAAGACGUCACAUUUGGUCAACCACACAAAUCAAAUUUGUGAUCAAAGCUCAAUAAGGUAUGAAAUUUUAUUUUCUCCACAAAUUAGAUAUGCCAUAUCAUUAAGGGAGAGAUACUUCACAGGUAUCUAUUUUUAACUUUGUCGAUACCUUAUUGUUUUAAGGGGGAGAAAUCAUGCAUGAUCCACGACUUUUAAAUUGAAUAUUAUGGGUCAAUAAUUCAGGGGGAGCAUGCUCAUAAGGGUAAAAUAGAAUAUUGAUUAGACAUGAAUUAAAACAUAUAUGCCAUCGACAAAGGGGGAGAAUGUAGAAUCAAAAUUGUCGACAUAGGAUUAUAUUUUAAUCAUGUCAAUUUAAACCCUAAUUACACUAUUAAUCAAUAGGGGUUAAAUAAGUCAAUCGAUAUUAAACCUAACUCCAGUUAAUUAAUUAAUCAUUUGAGUUAAGGGUUUAAGUCAAAGUUAAAAGUCAAAUUGAGAGAAUCGCAUUUUCACCUUGAAUAUUAUUAUUUGGAAUAAUUGCAUUUUUACCUUAAAUAUUAUUAUUAUUAUCUUUUGACAUUUUAUUCAAGGUAUAAUAUUCCAAGGGGACAAAACACUAUUCAAUUUUAAAUUUAUACAAAGAUAAGAUUCUCCAACAAACUCUAUCCAAGAAAAGCACUAUUCAAGAUAAGAUCAAAGACAAAGCUUGGAUUUUUGUGAGAAAUUAAGGAGCCAUCCAUUGAAGAUCCAAGGAUGGACAUUGAGUGGCCAAGGCUAUAAAUAGAAGGGUAAACCCCUCAUUUUCACUCACCACACUACAAGCAAACUCAAGAGCUUUCAUUCCAUACUUGCCCACACGUUUUUGCCUCCAAGCUUCCAAGCUUUCAAGUGCUCAAGUGUCCUAGUUUUCCAAAGCUUCAAAAGCUCUCCAACUUCUUCUUCUAAUCUUCUUGUUCAUCUCAUCUUUACAAGUAAGAAGUAUUGUAUGCUUUAAUAUUCCACUCCUCUAAUCACCUCUUGUGUGUGUCCACUUUGGUUGAGAGGGUUGUCUCAAUAGUACCAAGGUGUGAGAGAAGGUUUUCGAGCUCAACCAUAAAGCUCUAGUUUGGUUUUAUAGAGUUUUCGGGAAAACUCUUAGGUCGAAUCUACCUUGAAAGAUUUCUAAGUUUUUAAGAGUUCCUUGAUACUCU